rnacentral:tRNA from 7 species
GGAGAGGUGUCUGAGUGGCCGAUAGACCACGCUUGGAAAGCGUGUAUACUCGUAAGAGUAUCGAGGGUUCGAAUCCCUCCCUCUCCGCCU